rnacentral:lncRNA from 1 species
UGGUUUCUGUUUUUUCUGCGAAAUAAGAGCUUGACCAUCUACUGAGGGGAGAGUAGUGGUAUUGUAGGUUUGAAGAAAAUGAUGAUAAUUGGAAAUAGCUGCUGUGGAGAAAGGGCACAAUCUUGCCGGGGAAAUAGAGGAGGUUUUCUAGGCAAUGUUGAGAGCGGAGUGAGGCUGGGGUCAGUGAAUUCACAGUAACAUAAAUCUGUGGUGUGAUCUGGUUUUAUCUGCGGAUCUCAGCAGCCUGGACGUGAGUGAGGUGUACGUGUCACAUUUGGAGCCAUGGCAACCAUCCUGUGACCUGGAGGACAGAAGUCUAAAGGCCCCUCACUUCCAGCACUCCUCGCACCUUCCUCUGUUGUCCAUACAAGAAACUGGCUUCAGGACUUUCUGGCCAAGUGUGUGUGUUUGCACAGAAUGCUGAAUCCAACUCCCAGGUGCCCAGAGAAGUCAGGACUGGGCUGCUCCUUGCAGACUUUUUGUGAGAGGCUCCAAGCUGCCCUUCCUGGCUAGCAGGCUCUUCUGGAGAAAGGAUGUUUACCUUUCACAGGUGAGGGCAGAACUCAUUGCCACCUUUUGUUGUAAGUUUCUAAAGACACAUGCUGCAUGAAUGUCUUAAUGUCCUGCCCUAAGAAAAGUUUUCCAUGCGGACAGGUACCCACCUGUGCUUUUGUGGAAGAGGAUAUAUAUUUUUUAAUUGAGAUAUAAUUCACAUACCAUAAAACCAUCUUUUAAAAAUGUACGAAUCAGAGGGGUUUUUAAAAGUAUAUCCAUGGAGUUCUGUAACUAUCACCAUGAAUUCCAGAACAUUUUCAUUACCCCAUAAAGAAACCCCACACCCUUUAGCCAUUACUCCCUAAUUCCUGAUCCCACAGCACUAGCCCCCAGCAAACAACCUUCUGUCUCUGUGGACCUGCCUAUUCUGGACGUUUCAUAUAAAUGGAGUCAUGCAACAUGGGAACAUUUGUUUCCGGCUUCUUUCACUUAGCAUAAUGUUUUCAAGAUUCAUCCGUAUUCUAGCUUGUGUUAUUCUUUU